ACACUCCUACGGGAGGCAGCAGUGGGGAAUUUUGGACAAUGGGCGCAAGCCUGAUCCAGCCAUGCCGCGUGCGGGAAGAAGGCCUUCGGGUUGUAAACCGCUUUUGUCAGGGAAGAAAAGGUUCUGGCUAAUACCUGGGACUCAUGACGGUACCUGAAGAAUAAGCACCGGCUAACUACGUGCCAGCAGCCGCGGUAAUACGUAGGGUGCAAGCGUUAAUCGGAAUUACUGGGCGUAAAGCGUGCGCAGGCGGUUAUGCAAGACAGAGGUGAAAUCCCCGGGCUCAACCUGGGAACUGCCUUUGUGACUGCAUGGCUAGAGUACGGUAGAGGGGGAUGGAAUUCCGCGUGUAGCAGUGAAAUGCGUAGAUAUGCGGAGGAACACCGAUGGCGAAGGCAAUCCCCUGGACCUGUACUGACGCUCAUGCACGAAAGCGUGGGGAGCAAACAGGAUUAGAUACCCGUGUAGUCC
rnacentral:rRNA from 1 species